CGGAUCUUUUUGUGGUCGUGUUCGAACCUCCUGUCGCCUCUUCACUCACUUCAAAACAGACCAUACUACCUUCUCCCAAAAUAUGGAAGGCAAAGAGCUUUCAGUAGAAGAGAUUUGGUUCAUGAAGAAGUGCUCACAGAUACUAAGAUACUCUGUUGAUGGAAGGAACUGAACCUCUAUAAAAUGGCAACUCCUCAAGAGAAGGCACAAUGUGUUUCCUGGUUUACUGAGACAAAAUCUGAUGUUCAGACUCAACAAAACUUCAGAACGAAGUAGGGAAGAGAUCCACCAUUGUGCCCUUCAAUCCGUGCAGGGCAUAAAAAUUUUUGGAGACAGGGACAGUGUUGGAUAAAGGAAGGAGCAGGUGACCGCGAACAUCCGAGGAAAACAUCGAUCGCAUUUCAAACGCCUUCACUCGGUCACCUACGAAGUCCAUCCGCACUGCUGCCAGACAGUUGCAACUACCAUGUUCAACUGUGCUUAGGGUCCUCCACAAGAACUUACACUUCCAAAGUGCAACUGUUACAGACACUUGAGCCAAAUGACAAGCCAAAAAAACAGAGUUUGCACUCAACAUGCUGGAACUGGAGGAUGAAGUAUUCCUCAAGUGAGAUUGUUUCAGUGACGAGGCAAUUUUUCACGUUUCUGGGACACCAAACAGACACAGUGUGAGAAUCUGGGGAUCUGAGCACCCCCAUGUGACUAGGGAGCUUCACCGGGAUGGCCCAAAUUUGAAUGUGUGGUGUGGAAUCGUGUGCAACCGAAUAAUUGGUCCAUUUUUCUUCAACGAGUCAACAAUUACUGCAGAUGUUUACCUCAACGUUCUGACUGAAUAUGUAGCACCACAAGUAACUUACAAUCAACCAUCAUUUUCCAGCAAGAUGAUACACCACCACAUUGGGGAUUGCACAUUCAUCGGUUCCUCAAUGAAACAUUUCCAGCCAGAUGGAUUAGGAGGGAUGGGCCAAUUCCUUGCCCACUGUAUUCGCCAGAUAUCCCUGCCUUGGACUUUUUUUAUGGGGGUACGUAAAAGAUAUUGUGUAUCAGACACAGAUAAGGGAUGUUGCUGACUCGAAGCAAAUGAUUCGUAAUGCCAUUGCCACCAUUGAUGACGCUAUGCGAACAUGGCAAGAAAUGUGCUUCGUGCAACUAAACGUGCCCGUAUAGAGGUCUAUUAAACACUGUCAAAAAAAAAAAAAACUUUUAUAAACACUGAUUACAAUAAAAGAAAUGUUGUUAAAGUAUUUCAACAAUCGCCAUUGUAAUAAAGUUUUGUAGUUGUAAAGGGACUUCAUGGACACCCUGUAUAUGUUUACCAUACGUGAACUUUUGUGUCACUUCAGUGUCACAUUACUCCACUCAAACAAUCACAUUAUAUACCAUCGACUGUGUGUAGUAUGUGGCUGUCAGUUUAUCUGUACUGUAAUCAAAGUAAAUGAAACACAAUCUGGCCAUAAACCAUAGGCGAGUGCAAUAAAGUGUUUGAACUGUAA